rnacentral:rRNA from 1 species
UACGUAGGGUGCUAGCGUUGUCCGGAUUUAUUGGGCGUAAAGGGCGCGUAGGCGGUUCGUUAAGUCCUGUGUGAAAUCCCCCGGCUCAACUGGGGAACUGCACAGGAAACUAGCGGGCUUGAGUUCGGGAGAGGGAAGCGGAAUUCCGGGUGUAGCGGUGAAAUGCGCAGAUAUCAGGAAGAACACCCGUGGCUAAGGCGGCUCUCUAGUACGGUACUGACGCUGAGACGCGAAAGCGUGGGGAGCGAACAGG